rnacentral:rRNA from 1 species
UGGGGAAUAUUGCACAAUGGGGGAAACCCUGAUGCAGCGACGCCGCGUGAACGAAGAAGGUAUUCGUAUCGUAAAGUUCUUUCCUAUGGGAAGAUAAUGACAGUACCAUAGAAGAAAGCUCCGGCUAAAUACGUGCCAGCAGCCGCGGUAAUACGUAUGGAGCGAGCGUUGUCCGGAAUUAUUGGGCGUAAAGGGUACGCAGGCGGUUUAAUAAGUCGAAUGUUAAAGAUCGGGGCUCAACCCCGUAAAGCAUUGGAAACUGAUAAACUUGAGUAGUGGAGAGGAAAGUGGAAUUCCUAGUGUAGUGGUGAAAUACGUAGAUAUUAGGAGGAAUACCAGUAGCGAAGGAGACUUUCUGGACACAAACUGACGCUGAGGUACGAAAGCGUGGGGAGCAAACAGG